UCCUCUCCUCCCCUCCCUUCCCAGCGGUCUCGGCGUAGAUUCCGGCCGGAGGGCGGCGGCGCGGAGGGUGGAGCCAGCGGCGGCGCCCCUACCUCCUCCCAGAUCCGGUGCAGGCGGCGUGGAGGGUGGAUGCGGCGGCGGCUCCGCCAGGAGGGGGGGUGGGGGCGCUGGCGGCGGCGGCCCUCCUCUCCGGAUCUGGCGCGGCGUCGGGCGGUGGUUGCGGCGGCGGCUUCAGCCGGAGGGGAGGAGAAAACUGACAUAAAAAUAGGAACUCCCCCCGCUGCCGUCCACCCUCCCCCAGUCGCCUCCGUCGUCAUCCGCCCUCCACCCGCCGCUGCCGACGUGGUCCGUCCUUGUGUACCCCGCGUCGUCGGAAAGGGGAGAGUGUAGGGGCAAGGAAGGCGGCGUACAGAUCCGCCGCCCCCCGUUCUCGGAAGAGACGGCGGCGCGCGGAUCCGGUGGCCUCUGUCCUCUGGAGCGGCCAGGCGCGGCUGGGAAGGACGGUGGCGUGCGGAUCCAUCGCCUCCCGUGCUCGGGAGCGACGGCAGCGCGCGGAUCUGCCCGAUUCCGCCCGGCUUAGGCGGGCGGGUUCGAGCGGCCACGGCGGCGGCAGCUGCGAUAACGACGACGGCCAUGGUGGCUGCGACGACGACAACGAUGGGCGUUUGGGGUGGAGCGGCCGGUCCGAGCGAGCGGAGAGGGAGGAGGCGGGGAGACCGGCGAGCAGCGCGGGGAUGUUGGUGAGCGCGCGCGGAGAGGGAGGCGGCGAGGAGGCCGGCGAGCGGGCGGAGAGGGUGGAGGCAGGCGCCGCUCCUCUCCCCUCCUCCGUCGUCGCGCCGCGCGCCACUUCGCCACCGCGCCGCGCGGCGCUCAUCUCCGCCGGCGAGCAUGCCGGCCUCCCCGCCUCCUCCCUCUCCGCGCGUCUGCUCCUCUCCUCUCCUCCGCCGUCGCGCCACGUCCCGCACAGCGCUCCUCUCUCCCGUGCGGCGCUCGUCUCCGCCGCCAAGCAUGCCGAGGGAGCAUCAUGCGUCUUGUGCCAUAGACGGCAACAGCGGCGAGCAGGCCUCGACUCGCUUGAGCUACAAGCAGGCGGCAGGGGAGGAGGCAAUGAGCAGCAGCUGAGGAACCUUCGAGCUGGCGCUAGGUAUGUGAAUGGUCGCUCUACUGGGAGGAAGGUGAGUCCACCGGCAUAGAUGUGGAUUCGAGUGAUUUGUUGGAGAAUUUUUCUCCGUUUCAAUGCAGCGCUACCAGCAAUCCUACUAAUGGUGCUAGAAAUUCGACGAACAUUGAUUCGAUUGAUUUUUUGGAGGCUUUCAGGUCAUGGACUUCUAUAAGAUGAUUGAUUUGUAUGGACAUGUGAGUUGUUUUGGAAAUCUGACAUAGUUUCAGCGGAUUUGGCCGCUGCUGACGAUAGCCACCAACAGCUCGGGUUCUCUCUGCUAUCGAUGCUUCUUACUAUUUGACCAGUGCUUCUGUUUACAGAUUUGUUGGUCUACAUAUUAGUAAAUUCAGAUGAGCUGAUGAAUCAGGGAAUUCAGUUUCAGGUAUAAAAACGACUUGGACUUCUAUUUCAUGGAGUCAUGGUUAACAUCAAUAUUCCUUAUUCCCAAAUUUGAGGACUUCAUGGGCAUCCUACGAGUUCCUACACCGGUGCUCGUUCUCAAGAAUUCUUCAAGCCGAGUUGUUUCUUUCUUUUUUUUUAUCUGAUCCUUAUCUCACAUGGAACCAUUUAUUUCCAGGAUAUUAACUACAUCAUUCAGAUUCCACAGAAGAGCUGCAUUCCUGGUUCUGCUGUAACUGAGGGUUGAUCUGCCUGAUGUUGAUGGAGCUACUGCCUGACGUUGAUGUGCUGUUCAGCUGUUGCUGUUAUGAAGUGGGAAGCUCUAUUACCAAAUGAUACCUUUCUUAUUGUUGCCUCCUCUGAUGGCGUAUUUGAGAAAGUGACUAUGCAGGAUGUCUGUGAUCUGAUGUUGUACGUGAAACUUGGUGUUAAGCAAGAAUUAGGAUCCUUUGCAUUAACACAACAGAAUUUGGCAGAUUAUGUUGUUGAUCUUUCUUUAUAGAUAGGGACAACAGACAAUGUAGAAGCUGUGAUUGUUCUAUUGGGAUCUCAGUAUAGCUUUAAAGUUACACUAAAAGAUUGGUACAUAUGCUUGAAGAAAAUUUCAGGACAUCUAUUUCAUCAUUACAAACCAUUCCAAAUCAACGGAAGUCGGGUAGGUUUAAUGUACAAAAACUGAGUUUUUUUAUCGCAAUCACUUGGCAAUUGUAGUCA